AGCGAACGCUGGCGGCAGGCCUAACACAUGCAAGUCGAACGAACCUUUCGGGGUUAGUGGCGGACGGGUGAGUAACACGUGGGAACGUGCCUUUAGGUUCGGAAUAACUCAGGGAAACUUGUGCUAAUACCGAAUGUGCCCUUCGGGGGAAAGAUUAAUCGCCUUUAGAGCGGCCCGCGUCUGAUUAGCUAGUUGGUUGAGGUAAUGGCUCACCAAGGCGACGAUCAGUAGCUGGUCUGAGAGGAUGUUCAGCCACAUUGGGACUGAGACACGGCCCAAACUCCUACGGGAGGCAGCAGUGGGGAAUCUUGCACAAUGGGCUAAAGCCUGACGCAGCCAUGCCGCGUGAAUGAUGAAGGUCUUAAGAUUGUAAAAUUCUUUCACCGGGGACGAUAAUGACGGUACCCGGAGAAGAAGCCCCGGCUAACUUCGUG
rnacentral:rRNA from 1 species